rnacentral:ncRNA from 1 species
GUCGGCGUCGUGACCCUCCAAUCCCAGGCCUAUACCCUGACUUCCGACCUGCCGGGGCGCACCAUCGCCUACCGCGUGGCCGAAGUGCGUCCACAGGUCAACGGCAUCAUUCUCAAGCGUCUGUUCAAGGAAGGCAGCGAGGUCAAGGAAGGCCAGCAGCUGUACCAGAUCGA